CGGUCCUUAAUACGACUGAGCUUCCACAUCAGACCACAGCUAUUCACAAAAAAAAUGCUGGCAAGAUGUAGGCAGUUCAGUUGUAUGCGGUGACC
rfam:Caenorhabditis brenneri strain PB2801 C_brenneri-6.0.1_Cont0.17, whole genome shotgun sequence.